rnacentral:tRNA from 1 species
GGGUGGGUGGGCUCAGUGGGUAGAGCUAAGGGCUCGCGACCGCGGGGUCCGGGUUCGAAUCCCGCAAGAGGCG